rnacentral:rRNA from 1 species
GAUGAACGCUGGCGGCGUGCCUAAUACAUGCAAGUCGAGCGAACAGACGAGGAGCUUGCUCCUCUGACGUUAGCGGCGGACGGGUGAGUAACACGUGGAUAACCUACCUAUAAGACUGGGAUAACUUCGGGAAACCGGAGCUAAUACCGGAUAAUAUAUUGAACCGCAUGGUUCAAUAGUGAAAGACGGUUUUGCUGUCACUUAUAGAUGGAUCCGCGCCGCAUUAGCUAGUUGGUAAGGUAACGGCUUACCAAGGCAACGAUGCGUAGCCGACCUGAGAGGGGGACGGCCAACCUGGAACCUGGAAACGGUCCCGGCUCCUUCGGGAAGGCAGCGGAGGGGAUCCUUCGGAAAUGGGGGAAGGCUGACGGAGCAACGCCGCGUGAGUGAUGAAGGUCUUCGGAUCGUAAAACUCUGUUAUUAGGGAAGAACAAAUGUGUAAGUAACUAUGCACGUCUUGACGGUACCUAAUCAGAAAGCCACGGCUAACUACGUG